rnacentral:rRNA from 1 species
UACGUAGGGUGCGAGCGUUGUCCGGAAUUAUUGGGCGUAAAGAGCGUGUAGGCGGCUAGGCAGGUCUGGUGUGAAAACUCGAGGCUUAACCUCGAGAUGUCAUCGGAAACCAUCUGGCUAGAGUCCGGAAGAGGAGAGUGGAAUUCCUGGUGUAGCGGUGAAAUGCGCAGAUAUCAGGAAGAACACCAAUGGCGAAAGCAGCUCUCUGGGACGGUACUGACGCUGAGACGCGAAAGCGUGGGGAGCGAACAGG